rnacentral:misc_RNA from 1 species
GAGGAAUAGCUCAGACCCCACCAUCCGUGUCGGGGCGGCAGCCGUCGCGCAGCAAUUGAGCGGGUCUGAGGAUCUGCCCAUGCUAGCUGAAGAAGCUAGGCUAGCCUAGACGCCCGCCCAAACUCUUUUUUUCUGGUAAAUUACCUGAGUAACCAAACAAACAAGUAA